AUUGAACGCUGGCGGCAGGCUUAACACAUGCAAGUCGAGCGAGCGGCGGACGGGUGAGUAAUGUCUGGGGAACUGCCUGAUGGAGGGGGAUAACUACUGGAAACGGUAGCUAAUACCGCAUACCAUCGGAUGUGCCCAUAUGGGAUUAGCUAGUAGGUGGGGUAAUGGCUCACCUAGGCGACGCUCCCUUGCUGGUCUGAGAGGAUGACAAGCCACACGGGAACUGAGACACGGUCCAGACUCCUACGGGAGGCAGCAGUGGGGAAUAUUGCACAAUGGGCGCAAGCCUGAUGCAGCCAUGCCGCGUGUGUGAAGAAGGCCUUAGGGUUGUAAAGAACUUUCAGCGAGGAGGCGUUACUCGCAGAAGAAGCACCGGCUAACUCCGUGCCAGCAGCCGCGGUAAUUC
rnacentral:rRNA from 1 species